CAGUAGCCGCGGUAAAACGUAGGUGGCAAGCGUUGUCCGGAAUUAUUGGGCGUAAAGGGCUCGCAGGCGGUUUCUUAAGUCUGAUGUGAAAGCCCCCGGCUCAACCGGGGAGGGUCAUUGGAAACUGGGAAACUUGAGUGCAGAAGAGGAGAGUGGAAUUCCACGUGUAGCGGUGAAAUGCGUAGAGAUGUGGAGGAACACCAGUGGCGAAGGCGACUCUCUGGUCUGUAACUGACGCUGAGGAGCGAAAGCGUGGGGAGCGAACAGGAUUAGAGACCCCGGUAGUCCCUGUCUCUUAUAC
rnacentral:rRNA from 1 species